GCGAACGGGUGAGUAACGCGUUGGUGACCUGCCCCAAAGCGGGGGAUAACAGCCUGAAAGGGUUGCUAAUACCGCAUAUGGUCUAGAGAGAUUAGAAGCUUUAGAUUAAAGGAGAAAUCCACUUUGGGAGGGGCCUGCGUCCCAUCAGCUAGUUGGUAGGGUAAAAGCCUACCAAGGCGAUGACGGGUAGGGGACCUGAGAGGGUGACCCCCCACAAUGGAACUGAAACACGGUCCAUACACCUACGGGUGGCAGCAGUAGGGAAUAUUGCACCAUGGGCGAAAGCCUGAUGCAGCAACGCCGCGUGAGUGACGAAGGCCCUCGGGUCGUAAAACUCUUUUCAAGAGGAAGAGGAAGGACGGUACUCUUGGAAUAAGCCUCGGCUAACUACGUGCCAGCAGCCGCGGUAACACGUAGGAGGCGAGCGUUAUUCGGAUUUACUGGGCGUAAAGCGCGUGUAGGCGGCUCUAUAAGUUGGAUGUGAAAGCUCCCGGCUUAACUGGGAGAGGACGUUCAAAACUAUAGAGCUUGAGUACGAGAGAGGAAAAUGGAAUUCCGGGUGUAGUGGUGAAAUGCGUAGAUAUCCGGAGGAACACCAGUGGCGAAGGCGAUUUUCUGGCUCGAGACUGACGCUCAGACGCGAAAGCUAGGGUAGCAAACGGGAUUAGAGACCCCGGUAGUCCUAGCUGUAAACGAUGUAGACUUGGCGUUGGUGGAGUAAAAUCCAUCAGUGCCGCAGCAAACGCGAUAAGUCUACCGCCUGGGGACUACGGCCGCAAGGUUAAAACUCAAAGGAAUUGACGGGGCCCCGCACAAGCAGCGGAGCGUGUGGUUUAAUUCGAUGCUACACGA
rnacentral:rRNA from 1 species